AGGCCUCCCACUGCUGUGUCAUGAUGUUCUGACGACGUGGAACUGAAAACAGGGAAAGGGGGAACUGGAAGGAGGGGGAAAUUCAGCUAAACCACUGAAGCAAAAAGCCAUGGAUUAAUGGAUGGAUGGAUGGACGGACAGACGGAUGGAGGAGCAUGAUUGAAUAAAGAAUGAGGGUGUAACAGGUAGAAAAUGAGAAAAACCAUGAACAAACUGAUAAACAUAAUCAGUCCAAUUGAUUAACAAAUCAGAAAGUUCACAAUACAGUGCAACAAAUGAAUAAAUGAAUGAGAGAAGAAAAAAAAUCAGUUACCCAACAGAAAAAUCUUAUAACAAAUAAUGAGUCAAGUUAUACAAUAAAUCAUAUUAACUCUUGUUAGUUUGAAGAAGACUGUUAAAAAUAGAUUAUAAUUAUUUUUUUAUGUUAGAUUAUGUGGUUGUCUGCCUCUCCAAUGUAUUUGUGAGUGGGAAUGGAUGAAUGUGACCCUAGUGCAGGGGUCUUCAACUCCAGGCCUCAAGAGCAAGUGUCCAGCAUCUUUUCAAUAUGUCUACGAAGAAACACACCUGAAUCAAAUAAUGGAGCAUUAGAAGGACUCUGCAGAACACUAACAUGCUGAGGAGGUGUUCCCCAGGGUUUGGCGUUUGGCCCUCUACUCUUGGUCCUGUAAAAGAUAGCCCUAAGUUCCAUCAUCCACAUUCACUGCUAUGCCGACGAUGUCCAGCUCUACAUCUCCACCAAAUCUAUCAAACUGCAUGUGACAGCUGUCUCUACCAUCACACCGAGAUGUGAAUGGUAACUUAAUUUCUUCUUGUUUUGAGUUACCAGUUUCCUUUGGAGCUGCUGCUGGAGUGGUGCAUUGAAGAGCUCCAGCUGAUUGCUGUCCUUAAAUGGCUGGCAAACCUCCUCAGCAGGUCAUUCCAUUUGUUUGGUAGGGGAAGGGGAAAUUUGGUUUUCUUUAGUUUAAUUUUACUAUUUCUUUAAUAUUUCUUCUUUUUGGCAGUUAGUUCAGUUCUAGUAGUAUUUAUUUCAUUUAAAAAUGUAGUAUUGUGUUAACCAGUAUUUGUAUAAGUUUUUGUAUGUUUAAUUACCCCCUUGUGUGUCAGAGGUCUGAUCAGCCACUAUUUAAGUUCCCUUCAUGUCUUGUUUGUUUGGUCAAUUUUGUGAUUGAGUUCUUUGUGUUACUACCAGAGUUGUAGUUUGUUAUGUUGACCCAUAAUUUAUGGAUUGUUGGGUCCAAUUCAUAAUUUUAGAAUAAUUUUUGGAUUUUUUUGUAAGAAUUUUGUAAUAUUCUGUAAUAAAUUAAGAAUAUUUUUUGGAAUCCAUUCAGCGUUUCUCUGGUUGGUCUGUGUAAAACACUCACACUGCAUCUCACUCCAUCCUGGCCAGCUGUCUUACUGAGAUAAAAUUAUGGUUGCACUUAAAGUUCUUCAAACUCAACUGACAAGUCAGACAUCAACAUCAUUGGUCACCAAUCCCUUAUGUAAACAGGAUAUUUUUUUUUUCAUUUUUGUUAGAUUCACUUUUAUUUAUUUUUACUUAAAAGUAAAUACUCUUUUCCUUAUUUUCUUUAGCACAAAAAUUAACCAAACAAGAACAACGCCAUUCUGUAUUUGUUCUCGCGUGGUUGUGACCUGGUGCUGUUACAUCAGCGUCUUAAUAGGCAGCUGCCACUGUAGGAGAGCAACCUAUCUAGGCUGCUCUCCUACAGUAGCCUGCUGCAGGUAGGCUUCUAGCUGAUCGUAAGCCUUUAGCAAAUGUCUAUAGUGCUGUCUGUUACUCAUAUGCCUCUCAACCUUCAGAUAAAUGAUUGUGGAUCAAGACGUUCUAUCAAUCACGAGCUAGCAUGCUAGCAUAAGCUCCUGGCUAUUGUUGGGCUCGGUCAGUGUAAACAGAUCUGAGUGUGUUUAUUCACCUGGAUUAAGCAUUUAAAGUAAAAAUAUUUUGAAUGUAAAUCACUAUCCACUGUAUGUUAAAAGGAAAUGAAUGAGUACUCGCAUGAGUGAGUUCUUAUAUAAACUCAUUUCACUACAGUGAAAAGGAAAACAUGUACAUGUAUGAUUUUGUUUGACAGAAAAAAAACCCAGAUUGAUCAAUCAGGCCUGUUUUUACACAGGCCAGUUUCCCGUUCCAGGAUCCCGUUUCCAGAUCCAGGUUCAGUUCUAGAUUGUCUGUUGCCAUAUGGACCAGACUGGUGUGCUAACCCAUACAGCGAAUCUCCUCCUCCUUCCCAUCUGUAGAAGACAUUCACGCCACAGACAAACCUUCAUCUUCACCCUGGACUGGACCGCACUGAACUGAACUGGAUCCUUUUCUUUUUUCAUCAAUUCUCUCACUUCCAUCACGGAACUGAACUGGUUAAAUUUCUUGGUUAAAGGAAAAAAUAUUUUGAUUUCAUGAACAAUUUUGAAUAACUUGUCUGUAUAUAUUGUAAAUAUCAAUAAAUUUCACUAGUUUUGCGCCA